CACAUGCAGUCGAACGAUAUUUUCCAGCUUGCUGGAAGAGAAAGUGGCGCACGGGUGCGUAACGCGUAUGCAACCUACCUUUAUCAGGGGGAUAGCCCGGAGAAAUCCGGAUUAACACCGCAUAAAAACACAGGAUAGCAUUAUCCAAUGUUCAAAUAUUUAUAGGAUAAAGAUGGGCAUGCGUGUCAUUAGCUAGUUGGCGGGGUAACGGCCCACCAAGGCGACGAUGACUAGGGGAUCUGAGAGGAUGACCCCCCACACUGGUACUGAGACACGGACCAGACUCAUACGGGAGGCAGCAGUAAGGAAUAUUGGUCAAUGGAGGCAACUCUGAACCAGCCAUGCCGCGUGCAGGAAGACUGCCCUAUGGGUUGUAAACUGCUUUUAUCCGGGAAUAAACCUCUUUACGAGUAGAGAGCUGAAUGUACCGGAAGAAUAAGGAUCGGCUAACUCCGUGCCAGCAGCCGCGGUAAUACGGAGGAUCCAAGCGUUAUCCGGAUUUAUUGGGUUUAAAGGGUGCGUAGGCGGCCUGUUAAGUCAGGGGUGAAAGACGGUAGCUCAACUAUCGCAGUGCCCUUGAUACUGAUGGGCUUGAAUGGACUAGAGGUAGGCGGAAUGAGACAAGUA
rnacentral:rRNA from 1 species